GGAGUGAUGUCUGAGUGGUCGAAAGAGCUCGAUUGCUAAUCGAGUGUACAUGUUUAAAAUGUGCCGAGGGUUCGAAUCCCUCUCACUCCG
rnacentral:tRNA from 1 species